AGUGAACGCUGGCGGUAGGCCUAACACAUGCAAGUCGAACGGCAGCACAGUAAGAGCUUGCUCUUACGGGUGGCGAGUGGCGGACGGGUGAGGAAUACAUCGGAAUCUACUUUUUCGUGGGGGAUAACGUAGGGAAACUUACGCUAAUACCGCAUACGACCUACGGGUGGAAGCAGGGGAUCUUCGGACCUUGCGCGAUUGAAUGAGCCGAUGUCGGAUUAGCUAGUUGGCGGGGUAAAGGCCCACCAAGGCGACGAUCCGUAGCUGGUCUGAGAGGAUGAUCAGCCACACUGGAACUGAGACACUGUCCAGACUCCUACGGGAGGCAGCAGUGGGGAAUAUUGGACAAUGGGCGCAAGCCUGAUCCAGCCAUACCGCGUGGGUGAAGAAGGCCUUCGGGUUGUAAAGCCCUUUUGUUGGGAAAGAAAAGCAGCAGGUUAAUACCCCGCUGUUCUGACGGUACCCAAAGAAUAAGCACCGGCUAACUUCGUG
rnacentral:rRNA from 1 species